GACGAACGCUGGCGGCGUGCUUAACACAUGCAAGUCGAACGGAAAGGCCCUGCUUUUGUGGGGUGCUCGAGUGGCGAACGGGUGUGUAACACGUGAGUAAGCUGCCCUUGACUUUGGGAUAACUUCAGGAGACUGGGGAUAAUACCGGAUAGGAGCUCCUGCUGCAUGGUGGGGGUUGGAAAGUAUAGGAGGUUGGGGAUGGACUCUGGGCUUAUUAGCUGGUUGGUGGGGUAGUGGCUUACCAAGUGUUUGACUGGUAGUCGGCCUGGGAGGGGGGACAGCCACAUUAGGACUACGAUACGGCCCAGUCGCGUACGGGAGGCAGCAGGGGAGAAUAUUGCACAAUGGGCGGAAGCCUGAUGCAGCAACGUCGCGUGCGGGAUGACGGCCUUCGUGUUGUAAACCGCUUUCACCUGUGACGAAGCGUGAGUGACGGUAAUGGGUAAAUAAGCACCGGCUAACUACGUG
rnacentral:rRNA from 1 species